rnacentral:rRNA from 1 species
GACGAACGCUGGCGGCGUGCCUAAUACAUGCAAGUUGAGCGCUGAAGGUUGGUACUUGUACCAACUGGAUGAGCAGCGAACGGGUGAGUAACGCGUGGGGAAUCUGCCUUUGAGCGGGGGACAACAUUUGGAAACGAAUGCUAAUACCGCAUAAAAACUUUAAACACAAGUUUUAAGUUUGAAAGAUGCAAUUGCAUCACUCAAAGAUGAUCCCGCGUUGUAUUAGCUAGUUGGUGAGGUAAAGGCUCACCAAGGCGAUGAUACAUAGCCGACCUGAGAGGGUGAUCGGCCACAUUGGGACUGAGACACGGCCCAAACUCCUACGGGAGGCAGCAGUAGGGAAUCUUCGGCAAUGGACGAAAGGCUGACCGAGCAACGCCGCGGGAGUGAAGAAGGUUUUCGGAUCGUAAAACUCUGUUGGUAGAGAAGAACGUUGGUGAGAGUGGAAAGCUCAUCAAGUGACGGUAACUACCCAGAAAGGGACGGCUAACUACGUG